AAUGUAAAAAAAGAAAAAAGUGACUAAACAAAAGCUGCGAGGUUCCAGUGCCCUGACGCUUCCUCCGUCAGAGAAGCCCUGCGUGAGGCUCCGCCGGUUUCGGCUGAGAGAAAAACAAAGAAAAGAAGAUGACAUCAACACCAUGGCCCUCACAAAUGUACAGUACCUAAUAAAUGCGUUGAUCAAAUUAA